UCAAACUUGGUCAUUUAGAGGAAGUAAAAGUCGUAACAAGGUUUCCGUAGGUGAACCUGCGGAAGGAUCAUUACUGAGUUAGGGUCCCUUUGGGCCCGACCUCCCAACCCUUUGUCUACCUUACCACUUGUUGCUUCGGCGGGCCCGUUCCGAGAGGAACCGCCGGAGGACCGUCACACGUCCUCUGGCCCGCGCCCGUCGACAGCCCCAACCUUUAAACUCUGAACAAAACGUGUCAUUAUCUGAGUAUCUAUUUAAAUUAAAGCAAAACUUUCAACAACGGAUCUCUUGGUUCUGGCAUCGAUGAAGAACGCAGC
rnacentral:misc_RNA from 1 species